rnacentral:rRNA from 1 species
AUUGAACGCUGGCGGCAGGCCUAACACAUGCAAGUCGAGCGAGCGGCGGACGGGUGAGUAAUGUAUGGGGACUGCCCGAUAGCGGGGGAUAACUACUGGAAACGGUGGCUAAUACCGCAUACUGUCAGAUAACCCCUAUGGGAUUAGCUAGUAGGUCAGGGAAUGUCUUACCUAGGCGACGAUCCCUAGCUGGUCGGAGAGGAGGAUCGGCCAAACUGGGACGGAGACACGGCCCAGAAUCCUACGGAGGCAGCAGUGGGGAAUAUUGCACAAUGGGCGCAAGCCUGAUGCAGCCAUGCCGCGUGGAUGAAGAAGGCCCUAGGGUUGUAAAGUACUUUCAGUCGGGAGGCGUUACCGACAGAAGAAGCACCGGCUAACUCCGUGCCAGCCGCCGCGGUAAUAC